GCCUGGGUGGCUUAGUCAGUUGAGUGUCUGACUGUGGAUUUCGGCUCAGGUCGUGAUCUCAUGGUUCGUGGGUUUGAGUCCCACCUCAGGCU
rfam:Felis catus isolate Cinnamon breed Abyssinian chromosome F2, whole genome shotgun sequence.